rnacentral:rRNA from 1 species
AUUGAACGCUGGCGGCAAGCUUAACACAUGCAAGUCGAGCGGGGGAAGGUAGCUUGCUACCGGACCUAGCGGCGGACGGGUGAGUAAUGCUUAGGAAUCUGCCUAUUAGUGGGGGACAACAUCUCGAAAGGGAUGCUAAUACCGCAUACGUCCUACGGGAGAGAGCAGGGGAUCUUCGGACCUUGCGCUAAUAGAUGAGCCUAAGUCGGAUUAGCUAGUUGGUGGGGUAAAGGCCUACCAAGGCGACGAUCUGUAGCGGGUCUGAGAGGAUGGGCCGCCGAACUGGGAGUGGAAAACAGACCAGACUCCUGCGGGGGGAAGCAGUGGGGACUAUUGGACAAUGGGGGGAACCCUGAUCCAGCCAGGCCGCGUGUGUGAAGAAGGCCUUAUGGUUGUAAAGCAACUUAAGCGAGGAGGAGGCUACUUUAGUUAAUACCUAGAGAUAGUGGACGUUACUCGCAGAAUAAGCACCGGCUAACUCUGUGCCAGCCGCCGCGGUAA